rnacentral:lncRNA from 1 species
GUCGCAUUUUAAUGACUGGGCAGCUUUGAUAAUUUUAAUACUGUAAAGUCCCAUUUCAGCUGCCAACAAGGAAAGUCUUGUUCUCCUGCUUCUUUCGGAGGGCUGGAUGAUUACUUUAUUAUGAGAAGCAGGCAGCUGUGUUUGGCUUUUUCCUGGUAAUCUAGUCUCUCUUUCAUUUCAUCUGCACAGGUUUCUCAUUGUGAAGGGGCUCUUUCAUUGAGAUAUUGCAGGAUGGGACUGUUUCUUGCUACAGAUUAUGUAGCUGCCACAGAUUUCAGAGAGCAAAAGAGACGUUGGGUAAGCUGGCUGUGCUCCAGGUUGGGUGUCGUUCUCUCGUUAUGGGAGUUGAAGUUGUUUGCACUUUGCAGGAAGCUUUACGGUCCUCUGACAGGAAUCUUUGUACAUUGCUUAGACUCAAAUACAAGGUGUCUUGUUCUCUCAGGCGAGCUUUGAUUUUUCUUUGCCUUCAUGAGGAAUCCACUGUGCCCCCCAACAGCACUACUGGACAUCCCCAUCACAACAGGCGGCCUCUGAGACACUGUCUCAACCUCAACUGCACCUGUGAGAGGCUAAUCCGAGGUGUGAGAAAACUGCUUCACCGUGGACUUGCCUUUGUCAUGGUUUCUGCCUUUCCCAGAUAGCCCUGCAAGUCCCAGGAUGAAGGGAGAAAGUGAGGUCAUGAGCCUGGCCGUCUUUCACUGACACCCACCUCUAGGAUCUCAGGAAAUCCUCAGUGCCCCUCAACAGCACUACUGGACAUCCCUAUCACCACAGAUGGCCUCUGAGACAUUGUCUCAACCUCAUCUGCACCUGUGAGAGGCCAGUCCGAGGGGUGAGAACACUGAUCCACUUUGGACUUGCCUUUGUCCUGGUUCCUGCCUUUCCCAGAGAGCCCCUGUGAGGCCCAGGAUGAAGGGAGGCAGUGAAGUCAACAGCCUGGCCAUAUUUCGACACUACAACUGCCUCUGGGGUCUCAAGUAUGAUUCUAUCUCCCAAAGAACCCUCAACAACACACCACACUAUAUUCCAAUCACCAUGGACCUGAGUCUUGCACACAGCUUCUUUCAAGAAUGGAGUCAGAAAAGCAGUUAUCAGCAACGACCUCACAGUCGUGAAUUGCCUUGACCUCCAGCGUGACCCGACCACAGAGAUGACUCGAAGGGGCCCUAAGAUCAAGACUUUCAGGGUUUCCCAGUGGGUUUUCGUAGGCGGACUUUUUCCCGAUAUCAGGCAGGCUCUGCCGGUACCAUUUUCCUCUGCAUAGGCAGGCUGACAUCUCUGACAGCCUAGCGUGGGCGCCUCCAUCGCGAAUGCGCAUGCGCUAGUCUUAGGGCACGGGGCCUGAGCUGUGAGCUGUGGUUAACAUCCCAAUAAAUGCCUCCGUUCCCUAGCCACAAGUCCCUGUGGCUCGACUUAGAAGGACACCUUGGUGGAGGUGCGUCGGCAGUGGUCUCUUGCCUGCCUUAUCUGUGGGAUCCAUGGGAUAGUCCCAUGUUCCUAAGAGAGGUCAGACGUGAGCAGCCUGAAGAAACCUCAAGCAGAGCCCAAGGAAUAAAUCACGAAAUCCCUAAGGAUCUAAAAGGAUCUGCAUGAUGCCUCAGACCUGCCUAGAUGUUGUAGGGGUGAAGUUGUGGGAUCUCAUCCAAUUCCCACCAGAUUGUAUCCUCACCCCUGUCUGACCUUAUUGCUGCUCACACUCUAUGUCCCAAAAUGAAAACCCAAGUUGAUGGAGUAUUGCCCCCUCAUGAUGUGAAGAAACUGCUUGGCUGGGACCUGAAUUUGAGGUGAAGUUGCUGGACCCCAUUUUCCAUUCAGCAGAUUGUAUCCUCACCACAGCUGACCUUAUUGCUGCUCAGACUCUAUGUUCCAGGAUAAAAUCACAAGAAGAUGUAGUAGUGCCCCCUCAUGAUGUGAAGCAUGUUCACAGCUGGGAACCAAAUUCGAGGUUAAUCUAAGUGGCCUUGCAGACAGAUCUGCUAGUGUCUCUCCCUGCGUUGUCCUCAAGAUGAUGGAAACACUGAGAGAUACCUGGUUUUUGGUGUGGUGUGCUACUCUUCUGGAAGAGUGGUUUUUAGUGCAGGGGGAGGUGAUUUGGACGCUGGCGGGUCUUGGCCCACCUCCAAAUUCACUGCGGAUUCAUGAUCCACAGAAAAAUAACACGGAGCCAUGCAGCCCAAGCAUAGCCACACAGACAGGCCACCAAAAUGUAGUGAGGCUAAAAACAAGAAGCACUGAAGUGUGUUAGCCCCAUUCCUUUAAGCAGACUCCACUUACAGGCACACACACACACACACAAUGCCACACACACUCGAUGUCAAACACUCACAACAUGCCCACAGAAACACACAGCAUGGCAGAUCCUGAGGUUGCAUAGUUCUGCAGGAGGCCCCACCUGGGAGACAGCAACCCCAGGGAACACAGGCAGGCUGUACCUAGAAAUCACAUUGGGGCAAGUUUCAAAGCCCAUACAACUUAUAGGCUGGCCUGAGGAAUUCUGCAGAUCCUUUGGGAUCCUUAGGGAUUUUGCAGUUUAUUUCUGGGGCUGUGGUUGAUGUUUCUUCAGGCUGACUCCCACAAGCUCUCUGACCUUGGUUGAUGUUUCUUCAGGCUGGCUCACAUCUGCCCUCUCAUAGUAUCAUGGGACUAUCCUGUGGAAUCCACAGAAAAGACAGGGGAGAGUCCACUGUCAAUGCACCUCCAAGCAGAUCUCCUUUUCUGCCAAGCCACAGGGACUUUUUGCUAGGCAACAGUGACAUUCAUUGUGAGGCUAGCCAGAAUUCACCAUCAGGCCUGGUGCCCUGAGAAUAGUACAUGCACAUUCUUCAGGCAGGUUCAAGAACCCAGCUGUCAGAGCUGCCAGCCUGCCUAGGCAGAAGAAAAUGCACAGGCAAAGCUGGCCUCACAUCGGGAAAAUGGCUACCUGUGAAAACCCACUGUGACACCCUAAACGUCUUGACCUUAGGGUCCCAUGGGCAGUCUCCACGGUCUCCUCCCGCUGGAGGAGUAGGCAUUUCAAGACUGUUAGGUGGUCGCUGGAAACUGCUCUUCUGACUCCAUUCCUGAAAGAGAAUGUGUGUGUACAAUACCCCAAUCCCAUGGGGAUUGGGAUAUAGUCUGUUGUGUUGUUCAGUGUUCUUUGGGUGAUAGAAGACCCCAGAGGCAGGUGUCAGCAAAAGCUGGCCAGACCCUUAAUCUCACUGCCUCCCUUCAUCCUGGGCCUCACAGGUGCUCUCCCAGAUAAUCAAGAACCAAAAGAAAGGCAAGUCGAUGUUGGAGACAUGUUCUCACACUUUGAACUGGCCUGUCAUGGGUGCAGAUGAGGUUAAGACAGUGUCUCAGAGGCGGUCUGUGGAGAUUGCUACCCUUAGGGUAUCCAGUAGUGUUGAUGUAAGAGCACUGUGGAUUCCUAAUGACAGGAGAAAAAAAUCACUUGAGAGAAUUGUUGGGAAACCAGCCCCACAAUGCCCCGUGGGUACCCUAAAUCCAACAGAGACAAAUAAUUAGAAAGAGACAGAAUGAGAGUUUAAAAGGCAGGUCCAGGGGACCAGAGAAUUGGAGGCUUGCUCAUGGCCUGGAGCUCUCAGCCACCACCCAAUUUAUUGCUUUACAAGCUCUUUGUUCUUAGGGCAGAUCUGAGGGGUAGGAAGGGCUGAGGGAAAGGAUUAAUCAGUGAGGGAGAACCCGUGAGUCAUUCAAUAAGAUGUAUAGCAGUAGCAGUUUCUGUGAAUUUCCUCUAGCAAAGGCGUGUGUCUAAACUACUUAAUAUAUUUAACUUAUCAGGACUGAAAUGGAUGGGAGAAGGCUUCAGGAGAAGCCAAGAUGUUUGAUUAUACUCCACUGCUUCAAGAGAGUGUUAUUUCCCUGAGCAACCUGUGGCAGCCCGCUGAGCUGUUAUGCUCUCUGGGCAUAAGGACAUGAAGGCAAUAAGGAGACUUUUCUCCUCAGAGGCCACCCAUGGGAGUGACUCCCCAUGGGAGUCUCACACCGGAGAGAUCAACUCAUUUGGCAUCCCAGAAACUCUCUUUCCCACAUGUCCCACUUUUUUGUCUCCAUUUUUUUAAAUUAAUAACCACCAUUGCUAUCAUAGCUCAUUCACGGUGUCUAUCUACUCUCCCAAGAUGCUGUCUGCAUCAGUAGGUUAAAAAAAAAACAGCAUAAAAAGACACACACCAAAGUAAUAUUUGCAAUUGAUGAUCCACCUAUGGUUUUAAUUCACUUUAAAGGAUUAGUGUUAAAAAGGCCCUCAGUGGUUCCAGCAAGAAUAUCAGCUCUAGGCAACAGGAUGGGAUGAGCCUGAGAUGCGGCAAAAAGUUGUUUUUUCAGUUUAGCAGGAUCUAAUGUUAAAUUAUCUUCUUCUCCUGGUAGGUGAUGUCUAAUCAUCUCCCAGUGGUGUUCAGUGAUAUUAUAAGAGCUAGGAGGAAUACGAAAUCAGAAGUAUUCCAAUCACAUUGCAUUUGAAUUCUAUGCUCCAAGUUCAUAAUCCGAUCUCCCAUUCAGAUUACUGUCUGAUGAUCAUUAAUUUGAUUUGCCAAUUUUUGAUCUAUUUGGCUUUGGGAAUUCCAAAGCUUGGAAGAAUUUUUCUGACAACUAUGCACAGCGCUCGCAGGUUGAAUAGAAGAGUGCAAAGCAAAGCCAGCAGCAGCAGCUAUAGCUGUGACAGAUUUAAGACCCAUGAUG